rnacentral:rRNA from 1 species
CAAUAGCGUAUAUUAAAUUGUUGCGGUUAAAAGCUCGAAAUUGGAUUUCUGCCGAGGACGACCGGUCCGCCCUCUGGGUGAGUAUCUGGCUCGGCCUGGGCAUCUUCUUGGAGAACGUAGCUGCACUUGACUGUGUGGUGCGGUAUCCAGGACUUUACUCUUGAGGAAAUUAGAGUGUUUCAAGCAAGCUUACGCCUUGAAUACAUUAGCAUGGGAUAAUAAGACAGGACCUCGGUUCUAUUUUGUUGGUUUCUAAAACUGAAGUAAAGAUUAAUAUGGAUAGUUGGGGGCAUUCGUAUUUAAUUGUCAGAGGUGAAAUUCUUGGAUUCGUUAAAGACGGACUACUGCGAAAGCAUUUGCCAAGGAUGUUUUCAUUGA